rnacentral:lncRNA from 1 species
CUGAAACACGUGGUUGAUGGGUUUAGUGUAGCUAAACCAAAACGCUUAAAUCUAGUCGGGCUUUUAAAAACCAUCGCUUCUCUUAUAAAAUCUCGAAAGAAUUAAUGACAUAAUCAAGAAGCAAAACUAACAAGUCUCGUACACAAUAGAAUGUUUUUUUUUUACACAAUAUGUUGUACCUCAAAGUCUAGGCAUAAUAGCUUUGCACGUCUCCUCGAAGUGAUCCUUGAGUAACACUUUAAGACAAAGAGGAUAUUUUGCAGAAGACACAAAUUGUUUUAAGAAAAUUUAAACGGUUUCAAGUUUCAACUGAAGCAAAUAAGAUAAAAUGGCUCAUUGAGUCUUACUAGGUCUGUACCAGCUUUGUCAGCCAAAGAGCCUCCGAAAAUAUCCUUUGUAUGAUCUCCCCCCAUUGUCACAUGCUGUUUUAGAAUUAUCGUGAAGGACUGGAAAAUGAUUUGAGACAACAGAGUAGAAAGGAAGAUACAGUACUUGAAUCAAGAAGUUCAAACGAACCUGUAUCACCUUAUCUUGAAAAAAUCUAUAGAUUUGGGAGGGAUUAGUGGCUCAUUAAUUAUUAAUUACAACCAUCACUAUUCAAUCGAACCUGUAUCUCCUUAUUCGUUUGCGUGGACAUUUUUUUAUCAUCUCUUGAUUAUCAAUAUGAUUGAUUGAUUGAUAAAGACUAGUCUUCACAAAAAGAGGCCGAUGCACAUGGUCUAUGCGAUUCCAAAAUCAUCCUGCUCUCACUUUUGUCCGUUAUCUCACAAAUUGCGUAUAAGUACAAAUGUAUAGGAGAUUCGAUAUCUCCCCCAAGCUUCUAUCUAAU